rnacentral:rRNA from 1 species
GACGAAACGCUGGCGGCGUGCUUAACACAUGCAAGUCGAACGGAGUUACGUAUGAAGUAUUUCGGUACGGACUAUGUAACUUAGUGGCGAACGGGUGAGUAACACGUGGGCAACCUGCCCUUAACCGGGGGAUAACAUUGUGAAAACAGUGCUAAUACCGCAUAACAGAGUAUCGGGCAUCCGAUAUUUUUAAAAGGAGCAAUCCGGUUUAGGAUGGGCCCGCGUCCAAUUAGCUAGUUGGUGAGGUAACGGCUCACCAAGGCUACGAUUGGUAGCCGAACUGAGAGGUUGAUCGGCCACAUUGGGACUGAGACACGGCCCAGACUCCUACGGGAGGCAGCAGUGGGGAAUAUUGGGCAAUGGGCGAAAGCCUGACCCAGCGACGCCGCGUGAAGGAUGAAGGUCUUCGGAUUGUAAACUUCUUUGAUCAGGGAAGAAAGAAAUGACGGUACCUGAAGAACAAGCCACGGCUAACUACGUG